rnacentral:ncRNA from 1 species
CUCUGUUUCCACAUGGGAUUCAGGGCGGAAGGAG